CCAAUUGUUUUCUAGGUUGUACCUUCGAUAUUUCAGCUGAAAAAUUCGAUUCUACCACUUCACCUCCAUAUGAACCUUAACAUUUUGGUUUCAUAUGCUUCUGUCUAGGUAUGAUGAUGCAUCAUCCAUGAGCAAUCAGGACAAGAAAGACAAAGAUGGCCACAAGAAACAACUCUGUGAAGUAAUAUUAUUUUUAAGAUAAAUUAUUUUAAAAAUAUGUAUGUCAGUUUGCAUGAGAUGACUACAUUAAAGUUCUUUAAGUUGUGACUGCAUAAUCUACUUACACUUUUUCCAUCUAGCUGUUCUUCUGGCUUGAUAUUGAUGUGUUGUUACAGGUUUACGAGAGGCUGGCAUCCAUCAUUGCUAUGGAAAAAGAGAAUUCAAGUUGGACCAAACCGCCUGAAUGAUCUUGGCACCAUAUC
rnacentral:lncRNA from 1 species